rnacentral:rRNA from 1 species
UACGGAGGAUGCAAGCGUUAUCCGGAAUGAUUGGGCGUAAAGCGUCCGCAGGCGGCAAUGUAAGUCUGCUGUUAAAGAGUCUAGCUCAACUAGAUAAGAGCAGUGGAAACUACAUAGCUAGAGUACGUUCGGGGCAGAGGGAAUUCCUGGUGUAGCGGUGAAAUGCGUAGAGAUCAGGAAGAACACCGGUGGCGAAGGCGCUCUGCUAGGCCGUAACUGACACUGAGGGACGAAAGCUAGGGGAGCGAAUGGG